ACAUGGCGUCGUUUUUAACCGAUUUCGAAUGAUGUCAGUAUGAAAUAAACGCGUCGUUAAAUCGUAUUCAACAUCAUAUAUACAGAGUUUAACCGUGCCAUUUCGUCAGAGAAGAAAUCCUUUUCGCAAAUGGAGAGAUCGACAUCCGAGCCAUCGGCCACUCAAGUACAGACGGAGACUGUUUUGAAAACGGAUGAAACAGAUUCAGCGGCCCAGGAUGUCCCGACCGUUCGGUUGUGUCUCAGGAAACCGAAAUCGAGUAAGAAAGUUCAAUGGAAGCAAGGGACCGUGGAUAACGAGCACAUGAAUAAGAAGAAAUCUAAAUGUUGUUGUAUAUACGAAAAGUCUCGAAGUUUCGACGAAAGUAGUUCCGAAGACAGCGAUGACGACGAAUGCGAACAUUGUCAUGGACACAAAGAUGCCCAUAAAAAGAUUCCUCAGCACAAUCCAGAUAAACCUAUGAAGAUUCGAUAAUUCGUUCAGACGAGCAGGCUUACUUUUGCCGAAUCAAUGUUGUAUAGAAGAAAAGUGUAAAGAAACUAGUUCAAUUCGAUUAUGUCGAUCAAAA